AGAGCGAACGCUGGCGGCAGGCUUAACACAUGCAAGUCGAGCGGGCGUAGCAAGUACGUCAGCGGCAGACGGGUGAGUAACGCGUGGGAACAUACCUUUUGGUUCGGAACAACACAGGGAAACUUGUGCUAAUACCGGAUAAGCCCUUACGGGAAAGAUUUAUCGCCGAAAGAUUGGCCCGCGUCUGAUUAGCUAGUUGGUGAGGUAACGGCUCACCAAGGCGACGAUCAGUAGCUGGUCUGAGAGGAUGAUCAGCCACAUUGGGACUGAGACACGGCCCAAACUCCUACGGGAGGCAGCAGUGGGGAAUAUUGGACAAUGGGCGCAAGCCUGAUCCAGCCAUGCCGCGUGAGUGAUGAAGGCCCUAGGGUUGUAAAGCUCUUUUGUGCGGGAAGAUAAGUGACGGUACCGCAAGAAUAACGCCCGGCUAACUUCGUGCCAGCAGCCGC
rnacentral:rRNA from 1 species